rnacentral:tRNA from 3 species
GGCGCGGUGGACGAACGGAAGAGUCACCCGCCUUUCAAGCGGGAGUGUUGCGGGUUCGAAUCCCGUCCGCGCUGC